rnacentral:snRNA from 1 species
GUGCUCGCUUUGGUAGCACAUAUACUAAAAUUGGAACGAUACAGAAGAUUAGCAUGGCUCCUGUGCAAGGAUGACACGCAAAUUCGUGAAGCAUUCCAUAUUUUU